AUUGAACGCUGGCGGCAGGCCUAACACAUGCAAGUCGAACGAGUGGCGGACGGGUGUGUAAUGUCUGGGAAACAGCCCGAUGGAGGGGGGUAACUACUGGAAACGGUAUCUAAUACACCAUACGAUCGCAGGUGUCCAGAUGUGAGUAGCUAGUAGGUGGGGUAACGGCUCACCUAGGCGACGAUCCCUCGCUGGGCUGAGAGGAUGACCAGCAACACUGGAACUGAGACACGGUCCAGACUCCUACGGGAGGCAGCAGUGGGGAAUAUUGCACAAUGGGCGCAAGCCUGAUGCAGCCAUGCCGCGUGUAUGAAGAAGGCCUUCGGGUUGUAAAGUACUUUCAGCGAGGAGGCGUUACCCGCAGAAGAAGCACCGGCUAACUCCGUGCCAGCAGCCGCGGUAAUUC
rnacentral:rRNA from 1 species